GCAGCAAAAUAUGCCCAGCAGCGGCAACAAAGCACAAUUUCUAUUUUUAUAAACCUUGCCAACAGCAAAAAUGUAUAAAUUUUAGUUCAUCAUAAAUGACUUAAAAAGCACAGGUGCAUCAGUCAGAUGUUGGACUAGCUUCUAUCACUCCGCUGAAUGAAACUUUAUGAAUCAUCAACACAAUAAUCUCCUAAAUUAGGCAAGGUGCUGCAACCUUUCAUAGUCCAAUUCCAGUUGCAGCAAGCAUGAAAUGAGAUACAAAUAAUGACUUAUUUGUUCUGUUCCACUGCUACUGAACAAAAUAUAUUUUAACUGGCAAGCAACUACUGCCUCCUUCUUCUUUAAACGAUGCCAAGUAUCAUGAAUGGCUCUUUGCCUAAUAUUAUGGAAGAUCCGGUGCCUUUGUAUAACCCUCGUGAAGUUGGCUUGUGAAGCCAUGUAUGCCGCAGCAGUCGGAAGCUAGAA
rnacentral:misc_RNA from 1 species